UACGGAGGGGGCUAGCGUUGUUCGGAAUUACUGGGCGUAAAGCGCACGUAGGCGGACGAGAAAGUCAGAGGUGAAAUCCCAGGGCUCAACCUUGGAACUGCCUUUGAAACUUCUUGUCUUGAGGUCGAGAGAGGUGAGUGGAAUUCCGAGUGUAGAGGUGAAAUUCGUAGAUAUUCGGAGGAACACCAGUGGCGAAGGCGGCUCACUGGCUCGAUACUGACGCAGAGGAGCGAAAGCGUGGGAGCGAACAGGAUUAGAUACCCUGGUAGUCCACGCCGUAAACGGUGGGUACUAGGUGUGGGUUCCUUCCUUGGGAUCCGUGCCGUAGCUAACGCAUUAAGUACCCCGCCUGGGGAGUACGGCCGCAAGGCUAAAACUC
rnacentral:rRNA from 1 species